rnacentral:rRNA from 1 species
GGAGCGAACGCUGGCGGCAGGCCUAACACAUGCAAGUCGAGCGCCCAGCAAUGGGAGCGGCAGACGGGAGAGUAACACGUGGGAACAUGCCCUUCAGUUCGGGACAACCAAGGGAAACUUUGGCUAAUACCGGAUACGCCCUUACGGGGAAAGAUUUAUCGCUGAAGGAUUGGCCCGCGUCUGAUUAGCUUGUUGGUGAGGUAACGGCUCACCAAGGCAACGAUCAGUAGCUGGUCUGAGAGGAUGAUCAGCCUCACUGGGACUGAGACACGGCCCAGACUCCUACGGGAGGCAGCAGUGGGGAAUAUUGGACAAUGGGCGCAAGCCUGAUCCAGCCAUGCCGCGUGGAUGAUGAAGGCCCUAGGGUUGUAAAGUCCUUUUAACGGGGAGAUAAUGACGGUACCCGUAGAAUAAGCCCGGCUAACUUCGUGCCAGCAGCCGAC